ACUCCUACGGGAGGCAGCAGUGGGGAAUAUUGGACAAUGGGCGCAAGCCUGAUCCAGCAAUGCCGCGUGAGUGAUGAAGGCCCUCGGGUCGUAAAGCUCUUUUACCAGGGAUGAUAAUGACAGUACCUGGAGAA
rnacentral:rRNA from 1 species